CAUUUUGUCUCCCCAUGUUGGGAGACGAUAUCCCAGCCGCGGUGGUGCUGCCGCUUUCGUGUGACUUUGGGUUUCCCGAGCGAGCCCGCAGCUGCACAGCAGUCCGCCUUCCCGUACCCGAGAGAAGCCGCCUCAGACCCCAGCCAGCGGGCACCCCCGGAGGCCCCGAGCCUGGCUGCAGGCCCUAGACCUGCACCAGGGGCCCAACCAGUUACCCGUAGCAUGGGCCACGUUCUCCCGCUGUAGACCGGGCUGAGGCCCGACGGCCACCCCUGGGGGAGGAGUUUUCUUAGCUUCCGGUAGGGCAGCCAGGCCGGGGUCCCACCAGACCCAGGACGUGAUACCGGUGAAGCGGCACAUACAGGAACAAGGCAGGAGGAAAAUAAUAAGCACCUUAAAGUUUCCACUUUUCGUGUGGUGGACGGUGGUGCCCCAAAACUUCACAACCACCUAGACAUUCGGAAGGUGACCUUAUUUGGAAUAAGAGAUUUUGCAGAUGUAAUUGAGUUAAAGAUCUGAAGAUGAAAUCAUCAUGAAUUUAGGGUAGGCCGUAAAUCCAAUGACUGACAUCCUUACAAGAAGACAAGAGGACACAGGCACCCGGGGGAAGAGGCCGUAGGAGACCCAGGCAGAGAUUCGGAGCGGUGCCCAUGCCAGGGAUCUCCAGGAGGAGCCAGAAGCUGGGAGAGGCCCUGCAGAUCCUCUCCCAGAGCCUUUGGAGGAGGCACAACCCUGUCCACACCUUGGUCUCCACUUUCUGGCCUCCAGAGCUGUAGGGGAACCCACUUCUGUGGUUUGAAGCCACCAAGUUCGUGGUGACUUAUGGCAGCCCUAGGAAAGUGACAUGCACAGAAGAUUUCAGUUUGUAAGUAGUGAGAGCAAUGAUCUUGGCUUUGCAUGGUGCUCAGGAAGCCUUCCCCGCUCCCAAACCAGAAAGGAAUCCAUCCAGAUUUUCCUCCACUGUCUGGAUGGCCGCUCUGUGGAUGCUUCCAUCUGUAUCCAUUGCCGGCACCUGGUGAGAUUCCGUCUCUAGAGCCUUUGAGGUCACUCCUGACGCUGACAUGGCUGUGAAGAGCUGGGUGCCAGGCAUUACUGCCUCCAAGGUUGCUUUGCGAGGAAUAGGUGGGGCAUCAGGAAGAAGCCAGUUGCAGGCAAGGCCUCUGCUGAUGCUGCUUUUUUCUCCUGUACCCAUCCAUGGGAGGGAGCUGUGAGAUGGCCUGGCAGAACCCGCUCUUGGACCCCACAGAAUGAGAGGCUCACCCUGCACAGGAACAUCCUGGGGCAGCAGGCUCAGCACAUUUUAAAUUUUGAGUAUGAACAAAGUAAACUUCAGGGUUAAAAAAAAACACAAA
rnacentral:lncRNA from 10 species